rfam:Triticum urartu cultivar G1812 contig784714, whole genome shotgun sequence.
AUUAUACUCCCUCCGUCAGAAAAUACUUGUCAUCAAAAUGGACAAAAAGGGAUGAAUCUAAAACUAAAAUACAUCUAGAUACAUCCCUUUUAUCCAUUUUGAUGACAAGUAUUUCCGGACGGACGGAGUAUAUA